rnacentral:lncRNA from 1 species
GUUUUGCCUAGACUGUGGUGGUGUUUUCCAUGAAACUCAUUAUUAAUUUUCGUUAUAAUAUCUUUUGAGAAAUGGGUUUCUUGUGCCAUUAAAAUGUCACACUUUUGUUGUUGAAACCAUGUGUAUAGUCUAAAGCGUUUUUCUUUCUUUGCUAACCCUUGACAAUUUAAUGAACAAAUAUGAAGAUUUUUAAUGUUCAUAGUAGUUAGUUGUAUUUGUUGUUAUAGGAAA